AGCGAUUCUCCUGCCUCAGCCUCCCGAGUAGCUGGGAUUAACCGGCAUGCGCCACCACGCCCAGGUAGAAGCUGGUGACUUUAUGAUAUAAAAUCAGAGCUGAGAAUUACAAAAAGGCGGUUCUAGAGGAGGAGAAACAGAAAAGCUAUCAAAGACAUUACUAAAAUACAUGGAGCUACGGAGGGAAAACAUUGGAAAGUUUCAAGAAAAAAAGCUUUUUAAGUGUAUGAGAAGCAAGUGACAUCUUUAAAUCUGGUCUUUCAUUGAAACUUAGGACAAGAUAACCUUCCAAAGCAAACCGUCCUUUCUCAGUACUGCAUAUUUAUCAAGCAUUUACAAGUUUGAAUUUGUGAGUUAUAUAUUUGCCUGUACUCAACUGUAAUUUUAAAAUUCAGAUGCAGUUUUUCCUAGUUAACAGCGCCAAGCUUAUGAAGAUUCCAAAUAGGACUUUAUUGUUGACCCUUGUUGAAGAGAACUCCACUUGGCGUCUUUCCUGGCUUUCCUAAAUUGUUCACAUACAAGAUAAACUACCAUCACUCAGACUUACAGAAGUGAGAAGGCAAGCUGAACCAAAUGUAAAAUGAUAGCAAUUUACAGAUGUCAGAACUAACGUGGAUGAACUUAGAGAUGAAGAAGAAAGCUGGGCUUUUCCAAAGAGUGGACCUAUCUGAACUGGAUAGCACUACUGAACUUUGUUGCAUACUUUAUGGUGACUCUAAAACUCCUUUGCUUGCUUACUUUUAAAUGCAAUGUGUUGCUAUACAUACAUACAACCAGACACUAUUGCCUUCUGAGGCUAAUCCAGGCCAUUUUUAUAACCUAAUGCAGUAGCAUUUUGCAAUUAGAUGAAGAACGUCAAUGGGAUUUCUUUUCAUGAUGAUUAAAAUGUGUCAGGAGAAAAAAAUAGAGACAAUACUCCAAGUGAAAAAUAUAAAGUCAGUUAUUUCUUUAAUAUUUUGUGUUAUAGUAAUCAUUUUUAUCUUUUGACCAUACUUUUUCUUGUCUACUUACUCAAACAAAAUACUGAAAAUUAAUUAUUAAAUGUAAAUAUAACUGCAAUGAGAUAUCAUCUCAUCCCAGUUAAAAUGGCUUUUAUCAAAAAAAACAGGGAAUGACGAAUACUGGUAAGGAUGUGGAGAAUGGGGAAACCUCAUACAUUGUUGGUGGGAAUGUAAAUUAGUACAGCCACUAAGGAAAACUGUAUGGAAGUGCCUCAGAAAACUAAAACUAGCACUACCAUAUGAUCCAGCAGUUACACUAGUGGGCAUAUAUUCAAAAGAAAGGAAAUCAGCAUAGCAAAGAGGAGAUAGCUGCAGUCCCAUGUUUAUUGAAGCCCUAUUGAAAUAGCCAAAAUAUAGAAUCAACCUAAGUGCUCAUCAGUGGAUGAACGGUUAAAGAAAAUGUGAUUCAUAUGCAAUGGAAUAUUAUUCAGCCAUAAAAAAGAAUAAAAUCCUGGCUGGGCGAAUGGCUCAUUCUUGUAAUCCCAGCACUGAUCUCAUGAAGAUAGAUAGUAGGUUGGUGGUUACUAGAGGUUGAGAAGGGGAGAGGAGAGGAGAGAUGAAGAGAGGUUGAUUAAUGGAAUCAAAUAUACAGUUUGAUAGAAGAUAUAAGACAGUAUUUGAUAAAUCAGUAAGGUGACUAUAGUUUAAUAAUCAUUGUGUAUUUCAUAAUAGCUAAAAGAAUAAUUCAAAUAACAUAAGAUUAAAAUUUAAGAUGAUAGAUAUCCCAUUACACUGAUUUGAUUUUUACAAAUUAUAUGAAUGUAUUAAAUUAUUACAUGUAUCCCCAAAAUAUGUACAAGUAUUUUGUAUCAAUAAAAAAUAAAAUUUAAGAUAAAGUAAAUGUAAUAAUUAGCUUUUAUUUCCUAGCUAGGAAAUAAUUAUUUACUUAAUAAGUGUAUGUAUGAUGAAGAGAUUUUUUUAUAUUACUAUAAAAAUAGACAUCUUACAUAAACAUAUUACAGUUGGUGUUUAGAUGGCUUUUUUUUUCUGGCCUUGAACUUCUGGAAAGUAGGCAUGACCUGCUAUGUCAGGACUAGUUCUUGGAAUCCUUUGUUAUUUUUCAGUCAGCCUUAUUUUCUUGGGUCAUAUUUUGAACAAUAUUUAUCAAAUGUCUUUUUACCAGACAUUGUUCUAGAUGCUUAAAGAAAAUGAAGUUUUACUGUGAUAAAAGUUUCCAGUCUAUGUAAGAUGGAUAAUAAACAAAUGUAUAAUGCUAGAUAAUGAUAAGUGCUAAAAGAAGAAGAAAAUAAAUAAGGGGAAAGAGAGUUUCUGUGCAGUUGUGUGUGAAAGUGUCCAUGCAUGCCACUCACCCAGUAUUUUAAAUAGAGUGAUCAAGGAAGCCUCUCUGAAGAAGUAACAUUUGAACAGAGAUCUGAAAUAGUCAGGCAUGGGAACAUUUAGUGAGAUAUUCCAGGCAGGCAUUGUGAACAAUUUAUGUCACAAAAAAGUCACCCAAGUGUAAGCCAAGUAACAUCCUAUAUGAUAAUUAUAUAUACAUUUUUUGUUUUUUCUUAAGUGAAAAAUAAACUCAUUAGGUUUUCUGGGUACUCAUUAGGUUUUCAGAAAAGUUUUUCAUUUAAUAUCAUUGCUGUAUAUUUCUCUUAAUGAUUAUUCUAUUGUUUAAUAAGAUUUAUGGCUGUACAGAUACAGCUUCACAAUCCCUUAUCUGUAAUUCCAAAAUACAAAAAAAAAUU